rnacentral:rRNA from 1 species
UGGGGAAUAUUGGACAAUGGGGGGAACCCUGAUCCAGCCAUGCCGCGUGUGUGAAGAAGGCCGUAUGGUUGUAAAGCACUUUAAGCGAGGAGGAGGGUACUGGUAUUAAUACUACCAGGUACUGGACGUUACUCGCAGAAUAAGCACCGGCUAACUCUGUGCCAGCAGCCGCGGUAAUACAGAGGGUGCGAGCGUUAAUCGGAUUUACUAGGCGUAAAGCGUGCGUAGGCGGCUAAUUGAGUCGGAUGUGAAAUCCCCGAGCUUAACUUGGGAAUUGCAUUCGAUACUGGUUAGCUAGAGUGUGGGAGAGGAUGGUAGAAUUCCAGGUGUAGCGGUGAAAUGCGUAGAGAUCUGGAGGAAUACCGAUGGCGAAGGCAGCCAUCUGGCCUAACACUGACGCUGAUGUACGAAAGCAUGGGGAGCAAACAGG